rnacentral:tRNA from 1 species
GGGGUAUUAGCUCAGUCGGUAGAGCACUUGACUUUUAAUCAAGUUGUCCGGGGUUCGAACCCCCGAUGCCUCA